GGCUCCGGCGGUCGGUAGUGUCGCUGCCCUGCGGUUCUCUUGGCCAUGAGUCGUGCCUCUUCCAGCUCGUUUUAGUUCGGACUCGUCCUUCUCCUACCCCGAUCUGUCUCCUGGGUACUCUCCUCUGAAGUAAAAAUCGGAUUUUUCGCGGGGUUUUGCCCUCUUUUCCCGCUGCUCGAUCUCUUAAACAAAACGUUAUGGGGUUUUCACUGGCUUUCAUGGUUUCGAGGGGUUUUGGCUGCGAUUCCUCGUAAAAUGUUAGUCCAUUUCGGCUUUUUAGGAAAGAUAUAGUCUUUCUGCCAAAAAAUGUCAAAAGAUCUUUCUGUUCUAUCCAAAAACUCUACCCUAAUGCGAUUGCUUUCUGGACAUGGAAAAGAGAUAUUUUCGAUUCAUUUAUUGAUUUUGCUGUAAUAAAUUCUGAAGUUUAUGGGAAGAAAGCGUCAAAAGAUCCCUUUUAAUGGAUUAAAGUUUAUGCUCCAAGUGAUUCAUUAAGUGGGUUAACAUUUGUUUUGUACAUUUAUCACUGAUUUAAACAGACUUAAUGCUAAUAUGCAAUCCUCGGUGUAAGAAGUAAGAUGGUCGAAAUAUACGUCGAGGCCAAUAAUAAUUAGAUGCAAAUGAUCCAACCACAUCAUUAGAUUGGAUGAGUUGCUGCAGUGUUUGACAAGGAUUUAGCUGCAAUCCGAUUAAUAAUUCUUUUAUCAGCUAUUUACAUAGUUAUGGUUUAUUUUACUUAAGUUAGCCUGUGUGUCUAAUGUGGAAGCCAUCUCUCACAUACAUAGAAUGGAGGACAUAUGCACAAGUAGAAGGGUAAACUAGGAUAUCUCCGUUUAGUUUCUUUUGUUUCUCAUGUUGAAUGUGCAUUGAUCAGGAUACAAGUUUCGACAUGGCCGAAAUGCUGGUGAUCAGAGAGAAAAAUGAAGUGAAGAAUGGAAAUAAUGAGCCUGUUGAUGCUGAUGAUGACGAAGAUGGUGAUGUUGGGGAGGGUGAAGAUGAGUUGUCUGAUGACAAUGGGGAGGAAUAUGAGAACCCCGAUACCGAUAAUGGCAAGAAAAAUCCAGGUGGAGACGAUCAGAAGGGAGAGGGAGAGGAGGAGGACGUUGAGGGUGAAGAUCAUGAGGAGGAGGACGACGAAGAUGGUGUAGAGGAGGAUCGGGAGGACAAGGAUAAAAGAGGAAGACGAGAAAAAGAAGAAGAGAGACAUGGUUUUAGUUGUAGUUUGUUUUGUUCUUUCAAGAUCAGAGCAGACUUCAAGCACAGCCAUUAGGAAAUAAAACAAGAAAACUCAUGCGUGCAGCUCUAUUUUAGUAUCAGAAUUAGAGACAAAUGCAGCUCAAUUAUUCCUCAUCUAACAUAGCUUGAAUACUUUUUCUUUCUGCUCAUCUUUGCUGCUCUAAUUUAGUAUCAGAAUUUUCAAAACAUAGACUCAAAUGCAGCUCAAUUAUUCCUCAUUCAACAUAGCUUGGAUAAGUUCUUUGUGGAAAAAUGUAGAAUAUAUCUUGAAAAUGAGACAGAAGCUGGUUUUGUGGGGUAGAAUUAAGUCAUGCAGGUGCUUCUACUGCUGCUUCUCUCUACAGAAUCAAAUCAUAGCUUGAAGUUUUCUGAUGAUGGGUUAAGUGAAUUGGAUUGAAGAGGAGAUAAACAAGGAAUACAGAUAUCACCAAUGUCAAAUCUAAUUUACAAAUGUUUGUGUGAAUUUUUAGUACAUAUUUCCACACUUUUUAAAAUUUUCCUUGCUCUACAUUUCAUUUUUUUCAGUCUUGAAACUAAUUCUAACUUAGGAACAAAAACAUAGCUAUAGAUUGACACAAUCAAGUAAAUAAAUUACAUACAUAUUAUUUACCUAGAUAUUCCUUUCACUAGUAUGCUGUUUCAAGUUGAUUCUCAAAAUAUUUUUUAUGUCAAAUUAUUUGGUGAAUUAUUGGGUCCGAGUUAACCAAAUCAGCUGAACUGAAAUAUGAGACAAUCACAGUCAGUUUAAAUUUUUUUUGCUUACAAGACUUUGGCAUCGACUGUGAUACCAUUAACAAUGAUUAAGAAUGGAUUUGAUUCACAGAAUCAAUAGUUCGAAUACUAAUUGGACACAAGAAAUAAAUUGAGAACUAACUUGAAAUAGCACCCAAAGUCAAAGAGCUACCUAAGAAGUUUAGCCUUUGUGUAUUUACAUUCACAUACAUACAUACAUACAUUCAUGCAUAGCAUAUCUGUGUCUGAAGUCAGCAAUAUUAAGAAGAAGACUAGACAUUUAGGCUGUCCAUGAUAGAGGUGUAAAGCACAGAGUGUUGUGAAGUCUAUCCAUUAUAAAAUUGACCCUACUGUGCCUACCACCAACAUCUCCAUGUUAAUAGCCUUAUCUGAUUUCGGCAUCACAAAUUAGAUAGAUUUACUUUACAUAAUGGCAACAAAAUCUUCCAGUCCAAAUCCAUUUUCAAAAAAUGACAAUCAAGCAGAUUCUCUUCUGAAGAAACUGAGUCUAGUAUAAAUAGAGAUCCUACCCUUCACAACUUUCCUUUCAUGAAGAAACUUUGAAUCAGAAAGCUGAAAUUCUGUAAGAUCUCCACCCAACAACUGUCUCUAUUGGAAGUCUCACCUCCCUCUCCUCCCACUGGCACAAGAUCAGCACUUGAAAAUAACGGCAGUUAAGAGCUUAAAGAUGAUGGUAGAUCUUCAAUUCUUCUCCAACAUCAUCAUGUCUUCUCGGUCCAACAGUAAACAAUGGCAGAUAAGUUUCUACUUCGACUUGCCCUGUUUCCUCUUCUAUUGGUUGAGUUUUAUCUCAUGGUUUGAUCAGUUUCAGAUGACCGGCUGGGAAUCAGUGCAAGAUGGCAGCAGCCACUACGAUUACAUUGAUAGAUGCUACACAAAAGUAGACUGCAUGGUCCCCUGCGAAGCAUCUGGCCACUCACCAGGCACGGUGCUGCGUGUCCCUGAU
rnacentral:lncRNA from 1 species